GUGAGAUUGGUGCUGCGUCGAAUAAUGUGGCCUCGGUCUCUUCCUCACCACGGCGAUAUUCGUUCCGGCAACGCCGAUGGUCUCGUCUGCUUGCCGUCCGUUCGGACCGGUAGGCCUUAUGUUUCUUGUGUCUGGCGGUUGUCGUCUAUCAUGGCGGCGCCGACAAGUGGGGCAGAUUGAUGCUGGUACAGAGUUGGUGGCCCGACGGCUGCAGAUUUGGCGUUCUUCCCCGGCAACGUCGACGCCAGGUUGGCGUGGGGAACAUCCUCGGUUGACAUGCCACAUCGUCAAGUGCCUGUUCUAUAGGUCUGGUCUUCGACUCACAACGCCUACAACGCUAUGGCGCUACCCUGGAUUUUGGUUUGCUGGUGCUCUGCCUCUUCCGCCGAUGUGCGUCUCGACGGCGUUGGUGGUUGGCGGCGAUUUCAGACUUGGUUGUUUGCAGGGACUCCAAUAGAUUUAUUUCUAAUAUUCUUUUGUGUGGAGUUCUUUUCGCAAAGUUUUCUGGACAUCUGUCAUGUCUCGGUCUUUCUGGUAGUUUCUGCAUGUAUGUAUGCAAUUGUACUUGCUUUACGUAUUAAUUAA
rnacentral:rRNA from 1 species